GCUAGCUUUUAGUACAAAUAUGAAAUCACUUUUUUAAUGAAAUUCAAAGAUGAAAAUUGAAAAUAAAAAAUGCAUAUGAAGAAAAUCAGUGCCAAUGUGUUUUUUUUUUUACAGAAUCUUUAUCGCAAGGAAAACCAACAAAGCAACACAAGACAUGGACGUGUCCAAGCGUAGAUAUCUGUCGGCAGUGGGAAUCACAAAAUGUCGUUGAUGGAAACACUGAGAGUUGCAUGAGAACAAAUACAAUUAACGCAAAUAGUUACAGAUUGACGUGGUGGUAUGUGGACCUUGGUGGAAUAAAAAGCAUAUACAACAUUAGAGUAUUGUUUAAAUCGUAUAAAACAGAUGAUAGACGAAAAAAUGGACGCUUUGCUGGAUUUUCUCCUUAUUUCUCAAACACCACAAAUAAAGAGGAAGGUUUUCGUUGCUACAUCAACGGCCCAGAGUUACCACCCCUGGACUUUAAUACAACAUUUAUAGGUCAUGCGCGGUACGUUAUCUACUUUAACGAGAAACUUCCUGAAGGGCAAUAUCUAGAAGGAUAUCCAGAUGGUUAUCCUGAAGGUUUCCAACCAUACUCUACUACAGAGUUAUGUGAAAUUGAAGUACAAGGCUGUACUGAAAGUGGAACAUACGGUCCAAAUUGCAAUAUUAAAUGCCCAGAAAAAUGUCAAGAACAAAGUUGCAAUAUUUUGGACGGAACUUGUGUUGGAUGUAGGCCAGGAUGGAUUGGGGAUCGAUGUGAUAAUGUGUGUCCAGUCGGGGAGUAUGGACUUGAAUGUAGGCAGAUUUGUGAGGGACAUUGUGAAGGCAAUACCCACUGUAAUCAUGUAACAGGUCAAUGUGACGAUGGUUGUGCCGCUGGUUGGAGAGGACCUCUCUGUGAAAAGAGUUGCCUUAAUGGGACAUAUGGUGACAAUUGCAUGUUUAACUGCAGUGGACACUGUCUACAUGAAAAACCCUGCAAUAAAAUAACUGGGAAAUGUGAUGAAGGCUGCCAACUGGGAUUCACCAAUGACAAAUGUGAUCAAGUUUGUGCGUCAGGAUAUUUUGGGAACGAAUGCGCAGAAAAGUGUAGUCAAUAUUGCCAUAAUGAGAACGAGUGCAAUCAUAUUAGUGGAAUAUGUUAUUCAGGAUGCAAAGAUGGAUAUGUCGGCGGAAAAUGUCAAAAGGUAUGCGAUAAAGGGCACUAUGGACCAAAUUGCUCGAAGCAAUGCAGUAGCACAUGUUCCAACAUUUCCGUUGCAUUUUUGGGUGCGAACCAGGUUUCCUGGGCUUAAACUGUUCAAAAAAGUGUACAGCAUUAACAUUUGGAAAAGACUGUGCAAGGCAAUGUAGUAGACAUUGUAUCAAUAACGAGACUUGUCAUCACAUCACUGGGAUUUGUGCUAAUGGCUGCUCAGAUGGAUUCACAGGACCAUUGUGUGACUUAGCAUGUCCGUCUGGUCAUUUUGGUAAAAAUUGUUCCGGGAUAUGUUCACAAAAGUGUAUCAACCCUUGUGAUCAUGUUGAUGGAUUCUGUGAAUGUACACCAGGAUGGAAAGGGACUCCAAACUGUGAUAAAGAAUGUCUGUCAGGAUAUUUUGGAGUGAAUUGCGAUCACCAAUGCAGUAGACAUUGUGCUUAUAAUGAAACAUGUAACAAAGUCAAUGGAAAAUGUCCACGUGGAUGUCAGAAAAACUAUAUGGGAGACAGAUGUCAGAGUAAUGCUUUAGA